CAUGAAGCACCUUCUCUUCUUAAUGGGUCAGAGAGGCAUGAAAAUGCCCAGGGACAGCAUACUCUAGCCCAGGAGUCUGAGGAGCCUGCAUCCUGUGACUUCCCCACCAUGGCCUGUAUGGUGCUUCUUCUUGGGCUCCUCACUUAUGGCUCAGGAGCAGAUUCUCAGAAUGUGGUGACCCCGGAGCCAUCACUAACGAUUUUUCCAGGAGGGACAGUCACACUUACCUGUGCCCUUAGUUCUGGUUCAGUCUCGACAGGUCACUACCCAAGCUGGUACCAGCAGACCCCAGGCCAGCCUCCUCACAUGAUUAUCUACCACACAGAAAGCCACCCCUCAGGGGUCCCUGACCUCUUCUCUAGAUCCAUCUCUGGUGACAAAGCCAGCCUCACCAUCACAGGGGCCCUGCCUGAGGAUGAGGCUGACUAUUACUGUGUGCUGUAUUUUGAUGGUUAUACUUACACAGUGAUUUAA